rnacentral:rRNA from 1 species
UAAAGAAGCUUGCUUCUUUGAUGACGAGUGGCGGACGGGUGAGUAACGCGUGAGGAACCUGCCUUUCAGUGGGGGACAACAGUUGGAAACGGCUGCUAAUACCGCAUAAGCGCACAGCUUCGCAUGAAGCAGUGUGAAAAACUCCGGUGGUAUAAGAUGGACCCGCGUCUGAUUAGCUUGUUGGUGAGGUAACGGCCCACCAAGGCGACGAUCAGUAGCCGGCCUGAGAGGGUGAACGGCCACAUUGGGACUGAGACACGGCCCAAACUCC